rnacentral:rRNA from 1 species
GAGGAAUAUUGGUCAAUGGAUGCAAAUCUGAACCAGCCAAGUAGCGUGCAGGAUGACGGCCCUAUGGGUUGUAAACUGCUUUUAUGUGAGAAUAAAGUUAGGUAUGUAUACUUAUUUGCAUGUAUCACAUGAAUAAGGACCGGCUAAUUCCGUGCCAGCAGCCGCGGUAAUACGGAAGGUCCAGGCGUUAUCCGGAUUUAUUGGGUUUAAAGGGUGCGUAGGCCGUUUGAUAAGCGUGCUGUGAAAUAUAGUGGCUCAACCUCUAUCGUGCAGCGCGAACUGUUGAACUUGAGUGCGUAGUAGGUAGGCGGAAUUCGUGGUGUAGCGGUGAAAUGCUUAGAUAUCACGAAGAACUCCGAUUGCGAAGGCAGCUUACCGUAACGUUACUGACGCUUAAGCACGAAGGUGCGGGUAUCGAACAGGAUUAGAUACCCUGGUAGUCCGCACAGUAAACGAUGGAUGCUCGCUGUUGGCCUUUUGUGGUCAGUGGCUUAGCGAAAGCGUUAAGCAUCCCACCUGGGGAGUACGCCGGCAACGGUG